rnacentral:lncRNA from 1 species
ACGCCCGGCGCCUUCUGGGUUCUUGAUUACUGGUGUGAACCAUCACAUUUAGCUGAUACAUAGACACUGGAGUGUACAUACACAUAUAUUUCAAAAUUAAUCUUUUAUUGUUUUUUAAAUAUUUAUUUAUUUAUUGUGGGGUGUGCGCAUGUGCACACCCAUACCUGAUGACCUGAGUUCUGUUCCUAGGUCCCAUGGGGCUGGAAAAGACAACUGACUUCCCCAACUUGUCCUCUAAAACAUCCACAAGUGCGCUGUCGAAUGCACACAAUAAGUAAUACAAAUCUGAAUCAAGUUGUAGAAAUGUUAUUUUAAAAUUCUAUCCAUAGAAUUUUUUGCAUAGAAAGUUCGCAUGGCAACACCGCCUUUUAAUCCCCGCAUUUGGGAGGCAGAGGUAGGUGGAUCUUCAUGAGAGAUCCUGGUGUACAAAGCAAGUUUCGGGUGAACCAGGGCUACACAGUGAGAUACUGUCUCAGUAACUAAAUAAAAAGUAAAUAAAUGUUAAAGUUCCAUGGUUAUAAAAACACACCUAUACUAAUAUUGUUAUUAUGAUGGUGGCACUGUGUUCCUCUUUUUCUUUUUGUUUCAUAUUUUAUUAAACUAAAAAAGGAGUAGGUGUGGUGGUAAAUGCUUGUAAUUCCAGCAUGAACUGGGAGGAUCCUGAGUUUAGUGCCAGCCUGGGAGACGUAGCGAGACUCCCACCCCUAAGUCAAUAAAUAAAUGAACUAAAUAAAUAAAUAAUAAGGCUGGUGCGAUGGCCCAGGGGGUGACGGUGCUGCCUGCCAAGCCAGCUGAGUUCCAUUCCCAGAACCCACAAGCUGAAAAGAGAGAGCCAACUCCUGCAAGUUUUCCUCUGACCACACUUGAGCUCACACACACACACACACACACACACACACACACCCCUUAAAAAAUUAACAAUGAAUAGAUACAACUUUUUUCUUUCUGGAUUCAUUUUAUUCUCUAGGAAGUUUUCCUUGUCCUAGUAAUAAUACGCAUUGCAUUUCUUUAUUUUAUUUUUAACUUAAUUGUCU